rnacentral:rRNA from 1 species
CCUGGCUCAGGAUGAACGCUAGCGGCAGGCUUAACACAUGCAAGUCGAACGGUAACAUUCCCGCUUGCGGGAGAUGACGAGUGGCGCACGGGUGCGUAACACGCGUAUGCAACCUACCUUCAACAAAGGGAUAGCCCAGAGAAAUUUGGAUUAAUACCUUAUAAUAUUGUCGAUUCGAUUGAAUUGAUUCUUAAAGAUUUAUCGGUUGAAGAUGGGCAUGCGUGACAUUAGCUAGAUGGUAAGGUAACGGCUUACCAUGGCAACGAUGUCUAGGGGUUCUGAGAGGAAGAUCCCCCACACUGGUACUGAGACACGGACCAGACUCCUACGGGAGGCAGCAGUGAGGAAUAUUGGUCAAUGGACGAAAGUCUGAACCAGCCAUGCCGCGUGAAGGAUGACUGCCCUAUGGGUUGUAAACUUCUUUUAUAGAGGAAGAAACCUUUCUACGUGUAGAAAGCUGACGGUACUCUACGAAUAAGGACCGGCUAACUCCGUGCCAGCAGCCGCGGUAAUACGGAGGGUCCAAGCGUUAUCCGGAUUCAUUGGGUUUAAAGGGUGCGUAGGCGGAAUAUUAAGUCAGUGGUGAAAUCCUAUAGCUCAACUAUAGAACUGCCAUUGAUACUGAUAUUCUUGAGUCUAGAUGAAGUGGGCGGAAUACAACAUGUAGCGGUGAAAUGCAUAGAGAUGUUGUAGAACACCAAUUGCGAAGGCAGCUCACUAACCUAGUACUGACGCUGAUGCACGAAAGCGUGGGGAGCGAACAGGAUUAGAUACCCUGGUAGUCCACGCCGUAAACGAUGAUUACUCGGUGUUGGCGAUAUACAGUCAGUGACUGAGCGAAAGCAUUAAGUAAUCCACCUGGGGAGUACGAUCGCAAGAUUGAAACUCAAAGGAAUUGACGGGGGCCCGCACAAGCGGUGGAGCAUGUGGUUUAAUUCGAUGAUACGCGAGGAACCUUACCUGGGCUUAAAUGUAGAUUGACAGGACUAGAGAUAGUUUUUUCUUCGGACAAUUUACAAGGUGCUGCAUGGUUGUCGUCAGCUCGUGCCGUGAGGUGUCGGGUUAAGUCCUGCAACGAGCGCAACCCCUAUCAUUAGUUGCCAGCGUUUAAAGACGGGGACUCUAAUGAGACUGCCCGCGCAAGCGGUGAGGAAGGUGGGGACGACGUCAAAUCAUCACGGCCCUUACGUCUUGGGCUACACACGUGCUACAAUGGUAGGUACAGAGGGCAGCUACCUGGCGACAGGAUGCGAAUCUCAAAAACCUAUCUCAGUUCGGAUUGGAGUCUGCAACUCGACUCUAUGAAGCUGGAAUCGCUAGUAAUCGCAUAUCAGCCAUGAUGCGGUGAAUACGUUCCCGGGCCUUGUACACACCGCCCGUCAAGCCAUGGAAGCUGGGAGUACCUGAAGUUGGUGACCGUAAAAGGAGCUACCUAGGGUAAAACUGGUAACUGGGGCUAAGUCGUAACA